CCCCCACUCCCACCCCGAAUCAUUCUCAGAAUUUAGUUUUUCAGUUUUGUUAGGAUGGGUUAGUUUCAGCUAUAUUUAUUUUGGCAAGUAUUUAAAAGUAUUUGUUUUAUUUGUGAAGACUUUUCUCCUUGCUGGUUUGUCAUAAAGGUGUCAUCUUUCAUUCACCAACCCUUCAUCAGCUUGGAAGAAUUUUCCUCGUGGGUGGCUGCUUAUAACCUUCUUACCACCCUGGAUCUAGUUCACUGAGCAGUUGAGAUACUAUGGUGAUCAGCUGCUUGUAAACAAAUGAUAAUUAUAAAUUACUUUACAGACAGACAUACUUCCGAUGAUGAUAUGAAUAAUCGGCUAUAAUAAAACAGACUUCCGUAUUCUUAGGAAAUCCAGGGUUGGGUCUUCAACAUGUAUGUUGACUAGUCAGGAAGGAGUUUAGUUUAACAAACAUGUAUUGAAUUUUCAGUCUGGGAGUGCCAUGCCAACGAAUGAUACAACCUGUUUACUGCUCCAGGUGAUCUCCAAAUGUCCUCCGGAAUUCUGUGGGGAAGGAAAUCCUAAACCCUCAACAUAAGGGUGGAAGUGUGUGACUGUGAAUAAUAAAAGUGCCUCACAAUGGUUUGAACAGGAAGUCUGUGGGAGUGCAAUAUAAGGAAUUUAAAAAGCAAAAUCCCAUUUGGAUUUACUCCAAACCCUAUGACUUAAGGGACUGAGGAAUUCUUGAUGACUCUUAGGUGGAGUCCCAACUUGUUAUUUAACUAACGGUGUGAAGUUGUUUUUUCUUCAGCACCAGUCAUGAACUCUUUGUUUGUUUAUGUUUCUAAAGGUCUUAAGGUGGUUUACCAAUUAAGAUAGUAAGACAUUAGACACUGGAGGAUACAACAAGAAAUUGCAGUCUUUCGGUGAUACAUUUAUUUGGCACUAAGCUUUCCAACUGCUAAAGAGAGGCUUGGCCAAGAUAAAAUAUACAGGGUCACAGACACAUAUACACAGUUGUCCAGGUGUGAGUUCAGGCACCCAUACCCUCUUAUCACUCUAGUGCAUGUGCCCAGAGAGCCUCAUUUUCUUAGGGCCUCUGCUGCAACAACUUCAUCUUUUCCAUGUUGAAGAUGCUCACUUGAUGAUAACUAUUUAUAUAAUGUUCUUAUCAUGGUUGGUGGCUUUGCAGUAACCUACUUUAGAGCCUUUCAUUAACUGCCACUGUUAUAAAAGUUUUGGGAAGGGAGCAGAGGACAAGCUGCAGCUGAUGUCUAAGGUAAACCUAUAGCUGCAGAGUUCAUAAUGUUAAGCUGUAUUCCCCAUAAUGCAAUGAAAAGGGAAGAUUCUAAGCAAGGUAAUUUUUUGAGGGUCCACCAUUGAUUUUCCUAUAACGCUUUAAAAAUAUUUUUUAAAAUUUUUAUGUGGUUUCAUUACUACUGAAAGUUUAAAAGUCAGCUCCCAGACCUGGGGCCAAGUAUGUUCCCCUUGGAGUGUUGCCCUCUAAGACUUCGUCAGCUGAGGGAGUAUUUAACUUGAUGGUGGAUACUGCCCGAAUCAGAGAUGUGUGCAUCUCAGAACCUGUGAUUCCUCAGUUAAUUUUGAGGUGGUAGGUGAAGGACCCAGAGCUGUUCUUGCUGCUGAAAUAAUAGCACAUUUACCUGCAGUUGCUAAUAAAAUAAAUGAAUGGAGGCGGAGGACUGGGAAACACACUUGGAGGAGGGAGUGCCCCUCAGGUUGUAAGCCAAGGUAAACAGUCCUUGUAACUGCAAAGUAGACUUCCUGGCAGGCGAGAACCGGAGGAGUGGGUGUGAAGUACAACCACCAAGUACCAUUUUCAGCUGUAGAGAUGGUCGAGUUGCCCUGAGCCUCAAAAUGAACCUCUCAGAGUCAUUUGGGGGAAAUGGGUUUCCUGAACUGGCCUUGGACUGGCCUGUCGUGCCUGCAGCUGGACCCAGAGACAGUGCUUGGGGGAGAAAAGGUCACAUUUGUGCUAGAGAAAGCCAGCAGAUGGGCUCUCUGAGGGGUAGAAAUGAAGUUGGCCGUGACCUAGGGGAAGCCUUGGGGAGGGGGGGGCGGUGGACUGGCAGAACGCAGUGCGAAGGCGUCCCUGAGUCUGUGUGUGAUUUAGAGUUAAUGGAAACAUAGAUGUUUUCUUUCUGUCUUUCAUUACAGUGGAAAACUGUGUCAUUACAGUGGACAGCUGUGCACAUUUUGCAAAUCAUGUGAUGUGUGCAUAUGCACACAUCCUUAUAAGCAACUUGCACACAUAUUAAAAAAAAAAAAAAAAAGAAAUUCCCCACAGGGUCCCUGUUCAUAGUCUCUUUAUGCCUGUUCUUCUGUGAUGAUAGCAUUUUCUUCUCAUUGGAGCUGUUAGGUUCUGUGAAUUCCAACAGAAAAAAAAAUGGCUGUCUGUGUCUGACAAUCAUGAAUUUCUUUAUAUAAAUAAAUAUGUGUAUGUAUGUAGACUGUGUCCUAAAUGGUUUGUAUAAAGCGGUAGGCAUCUCAUCCCUGUGUCUCCUCUUCUGCAGCUAAUCAGGUACUUCCUCAGGUUUAUAGUUGCUGAUGCCCUGCCUGUGCCGUGUGCUGAGAGAUGUAGACCCUCAGAAAGGACUGAUACAGAAAUUCCUUAGAACUUUUCAUACUCAAAGAUUCUUUUGUUUCCCCCUUUGGAUUUCAUUUUCUUAAAAUAAAAUUAGUUUCAGGUGCACAAAACAACAUAGUGAUUCAUACUCAAAGAUUCUUGAAGUUUGGUUGCAUCUGGGAAGGGUACCUGCCUUGUAAAGAGACCCCAGUUCCUGUAACGGUCACUCCAAAAAGCGUUACCUAAAUCCCCUGUCUGUAGUUUUAUUUCUUGAACAUCUUUUUUCCCAUAACUAGCCAUGUGUACUGGGACCAAAUAUUAGGUCCACUGCCUCCCUUUUAAGAAACCAAUUAUAAAGGCAACAUAACUUUACCAAAAAGAGACUUCGGGAAAUAGAGAAGAGAAACAAUGACCCGAAAUGCUCUUGUUCCAACUACAAGAACUAGUUUUGUAUUUUUGUAUAUACGUCCUCUGUCCAGUCUUCCUCUACAUAUGUAUUUUGUGUAUCUUGCAUCUCUCUCCUUGCCACUUAAAAUUACAUUAAAUGCAUUUUCCUAUGUUGCUAUGUAGCCCUCAUUGUAAUAAUUUAAGCCGAUUAAUGGAGAAAUACUGACUGCAGAUUUCGACUUUAUUCCCUUUCCCCCUUUCAUUUCAGGACUAUAUAAAAGGCAAGAGUGUGUGGGGGGGAAAUGGUGCUUCCAGGUGAACUUAAGAGAAAAUUCUAUGUAGCUUGAUUUGUUUUCAGGAGUGCCUAGGCUCCCUAAGCAGAUGAGCGGGCUUGGCUCCCCGCUCUACCUGUGCAUCUGGUCCUUUGUGUCUGGGCCUGUGGCCUGAGGACUGUGGGCCCUGAUUGUGUCGUCUACAUCCCUGCUACCACCAGGACUGUGUUGACUCUAAGGACAGUGAGACUUUUUGUACGCUUUUCUUCUCUUAAGGAACAAUUUGUAGGCUUUGUGCAAACAGCCAGCCCACUGGGUAGGGGCCUUUUAAUUCUGUUGCUUUAUUUUGGAGUGCAUUAUUGGAUUGCAAAUAUUUAUUUAGUAUGAAAAAUGGAUACAAUUAACUGCAUCCUAAAUAGGGACUAGCCAUUAACUUCAAUAUUAAUUUGCAACCUUUGUGCUUUGCAUGCAUGUGACGUACGCCGUUGUUAACCAAGGAUGUUAUCUGAGGAUUUAAAAUAGUUUUCCACUUCCACCGUUCUAUAAAUGAAAACCAGAAUGUUCCUGCUGUAGGUGAGGGCUGGUCCAGUGUCGCUGGGCUGCCUUUCCUUGCUUACAGAGCCCUGGAGCUUGGCCAAGUCGGAUGAGAGGGGAGGAGGAAAGGUUCGGGUUUGAGAGCCCUGGGUUUAUUUCUGGCUGUUGAGAUGUGAGACUGUGGGAGAAGGCAUAAAUAUAGUUUGAAGGAGGUCAUAGACUCAGAGGUUCUCACCAGGGUAAACGCUGGAUGGAUUUGUUUAUGGAUGGAUUUGUUAUAGCAGCUUCACACUUUUACCUCUCAGAGUCCAGGCUUCCACUGGGCACCUCUGAGUGGCUGGGUCUCAUUUGCUGGCUGCCUCUGAAGUCUCCCCCAGUGCACCAACCACUUCCACUUUGGUCCCUUUCUUUCUGACUUUGUGGUCAAAGAAUUAACUUUCUGACCUGCCAGGAGAGCUGAUGGGGAAAAAAAAGAACAAGCAUCUUGGGAAAAGACAGUUAUGGAAAUACUAGAACAUAUAGCACUUGGGGGCUGCAGCUGUGGGGAGUGGGGCUUUGUGGCUGUGUGGGCACCUCACCAUCUCCGUAUACAAGGAGAACAAGGGCAGCUGCUCUCAAGUGCCCAGGCCUGCGAAUCUUUUGACUUUCUGUGGGUUGUUCACUGACUUCCCCUGGGUAGGUUGCAAAUCCUUUUACUGCAUCCACCCCUGUGGGUACGGGAGGGCCCCCUUGCAGCCGCUGCCCUGGUGAACCCCGGCCCUGCACGUGGGUGCUGUCUGCUCUUAGCCACUCGGGGACACUGCCCAGCCAGCCCCACCCCAGCUCUCCUCAUCGAGGGGCAUUUGCUUGCCUUCGCCAGUGGCCUUGGCCUCACUCCCAGUGCUGGUCCCGCCUCCUGGGCCUUGUUGCUUGUCCACCAGACCGUGAAAUCACUCUAGCCUUGGGGCAUCUUAUCCGCCUGUAUGGCUAGCACAUGUUGCUUCCAUUUGCCAGGGAGCUUCCCAGAGGGUAUGACUUCCUCAGGAGGAAUUUAGAUGAUAAGUUCCUUAAGGAGAAACGAACUUUUGUUUAUGGGAGGCAGUAUUGUGUAUAGUGAGAGUUCUAGUUCAUAGUCCAGCCUAGCCACUUGCCUGGUGCGUUCUCCUUGCCAAGCUGCUUGACCUCUGUGGGCAGUUUCCAUCUGUAAAAAUGGGAAUAAUAAUAGUAACCUCAUUACAGUUGUUAUUGUAUAAGGAGUAACUAAGUUGACUCAUUCAUGUAAAUCACUUGAAUAGUGGCUUUAACAUACUAAGCACAUGGUAAAUGUCUGUUGUCGUUGUAUCUUUGUACCUCAGCCUCGAACACUGUGGUUUAUACGUAAUAGGUGCUCACUAAAUGAUUUGUUGAAUAAGUGUAAUAUUCAGAAGUUGGAAAAAUGAUUUCCUCAUCUCUUACCACACUGGUAAUACCUGGUUGCAAUAAAGCAUUAUUGGCAUGAAAACAUUUACCCCAGGUUGGGGAAAGGUAGUAGGAUGUUCCAAAUUCAAUAUCAAUAACCAUAUGCCUAUGAUUUCUUCAUCAGACCUACCUACCCACUGUGUCAGAAGUUUGAUUAAUGUUACUGGCUCCCACAGUAAUUUUGAAAGGGCAAAACAGCUUAGUCAGGUGACUUAUGGCCAGUAAGCAUUGUUAUUGGAACAUUUCACACUCCAGCCUACUUGAUGGCUGUCUUAAGCAGACUCUGCCCUUUCUUGAUGGGCUCACUCUGCAUUCUCACUGUGUUUGCUGCUGAGGUGGGAGGCGGGUAGAAAAGGCUCUUCAGUUGAGAAGGCUCCUGCAUCUUUGUAGCCCACUCAGGGCUAAGCAUGGCGCCAGGUGCCACCUGAUAGGAUCGUUUUUUCUCUUGCUGUGGGGUAUUGAAUUUGAGGGCUGCUCUCAGUUACUGCUCACCUACUAUAAGGAGGAACAAGUGGUCCCCAAAUGUUCCAGAUGAGACAUAGGGAAGGGGUGCUACCAGCUCAUCUUUGAUAAGGAGUCUGAGCCGUUCUCCGGAUGAAGAUCACAGCUCUCCACGCAGUAGGGACUGUGAUCCUACGGACAGGAGUUUUUGACCCAGUUCGUAGAGAUUACAAUUUGGAAAAGAUGGUUUUACGAAAGUGACAAGAACAUGAACCUGAAGUCCUUUGUCUCAAUGUAUUCCAGAAUUAUUUUUGACCAUUGAAUUCUCCCCUUGUGCCUAACUUAAAAAAAAAUAAUAAUAAAUUGAUUUCAGUCCAAACGAAUGCAGUAUGGUUCUUGUGUGGCGAGAUUCACAGGUGGUUUGAAGGAUUCAUCAUCUUGUAAAAAGAACAGAGGCGUUUACAAUUGCCAUCCAUCUUUCUCAAGUAUCUCUCACCCAAAUUGAAGCGGCCCAUUGAAAACCUGAUCUUCAUCAAAGGAAAAGCACACUUUGGGGCCAUCUCACCGCUUCUGCUACAGCUCCAUGCUCUGCUUGUGGGCAAAAGACAGGGCUGAGCACAGAGCGCCGGGGACAGCCGGGGACUGCCGCACGUGGCGCUAACAUGCAGAUGCUGCUCAACAGAACACUGACCCAUUUUCUUA